rnacentral:ncRNA from 1 species
CUUAUCAAGAGUGGCGGAGGAACAGGUCCUGUGAAGCCCGGCAACCUAGUAUAAAGCUAAGGUGCUAAUUCCUGCGGUGUAUUCCGAGAGAUGAGG